rnacentral:rRNA from 1 species
CCUACGGGGGGCAGCAGUGGGGAAUAUUGGGCAAUGGAGGCAACUCUGACCCAGCAAUGCCGCGUGAGUGAUGAAGGUAAUUUUAUUGUAAAGCUCUUUUCUUUGGAACGAAUAAAUGACGGUACCAAAGGAAUAAGCCCCGGCUAACUACGUGCCAGCAGCCGCGGUAAUACGUAGGGGGCUAGCGUUAUCCGGAAUUACUGGGCGUAAAGGGUGCGUAGGUGGUUUCUUAAGUCAGAGGUGAAAGGCUACGGCUCAACCGUAGUAAGCCUUUGAAACUGGGAAACUUGAGUGCAGGAGAGGAGAGUGGAAGUCCUAGUGUAGCGGUGAAAUGCGUAGAUAUUAGGAGGAACACCAGUUGCGAAGGCGGCUCUCUGGACUGUAACUGACACUGAGGCACGAAAGCGUGGGGAGCAAACAGGAUUAGAUACCCCAGUAGUC